CAGUCGCCGCGGUAAAACGAAGGGUGCAAGCGUUAAUCGGAAUUACUGGGCGUAAAGCGUGCGUAGGCGGUGAGUUAAGUCUGCUGUGAAAUCCCCGGGCUCAACCUGGGAAUGGCAGUGGAUACUGGCUCGCUAGAGUGUGUCAGAGGAUGGUGGAAUUCCCGGUGUAGCGGUGAAAUGCGCAGAUAUGCGGAGGAACACCGAUGGCGAAGGCAGCCCCCUGGGCCAACACUGACGCUCAUGCACGAAAGCGUGGGGAGCAAACAGGAUUAGAUACCCGCGUAGUCCCUGUCUCUUAUAC
rnacentral:rRNA from 1 species